rnacentral:lncRNA from 10 species
AGACAGCCUAAAAUAAAAAUAAAUACUUGAACAGGCAUAUAAGAAAAGAGGAAAUCCAAAAGGUUAAUGCAAAACAUAAGAAAAGGUGAUUAAUUGCACUGAUGAUCAAAGAAAUAAGUCCACAGUAUAAUACCCUUUUUAACCCACUAAAUUGGCAAACAUUGAAAAUUCAGACAGUAACAAGUGUUGGUGAGCACAUGGGACAAGAGAAACUAUCAUGCACUGUGAUGGGAGUCUAAAUUGGAAACCUCUGAUAGAGAAAUGUGUAUCCUAGGACUCUAAAUCUCUACGCCAAAUGUAACCCCUAGAGAAACUAGUGUGUAUGUGCAUUAAAAGAGGCAUAAAAAAUGUUCACUGGAAGGUCAGUUCUAAAAGGACCUUCCUUUUAGAAAGGAACAAUUCAAUGUCCACAUAGAAACAAUUCAAAUGUCCAUCAACAGUAAGAAGAAUGAAUUAAUCCUGGUAAAACUAAAAAGAGAAUUAGAAAAAUUAUUGCCACCAAUGUCGGAGGGUUGGUGUAGGAGAGUGCAAUGAUAGAGAAGAUGCAUAUAAGAAAUGGCUUCUAAGGUCUGAUCAUGUUAGAUUUCUUAAUUUUGGGUAGUGAUUACACAACAUUUGCUCUAUAAUUACUAUCUAAAUUUACAGCUAUGUCACACAUAGUUUAUAUACUCUUUUAGAUAUGUAGGAUAUUGCAGAACUUUAACAAUAUUCAGUCAUUUUAGACCCAAGGGCAAUCUUGAUUAACUAAUAAAAAUGUUCAUUAAGCUUAAUCAUAAAAGGUUUCUUCUGACUUGAGAGAGCAGCAUUUUUCUUUCCCCAGCCCUGUGGCCUUUCAGUAAGGGACCUCAACCACUCAAUAUGGAAAAUAAGCAUCUGCUCAGCUUCUCUGUUUCCCAGGCCUGCACAUCUCCUUUCUCCCACCAGCUGACUCCACCUGAUUUUUUAUUUCUCCAGUGUUGGGGCUAAGAGAAGAAAGAGUGGAGAGGAAUAACAAGGUGUUGGUUAACAGACUCUGUUACCAUCAGGCUUUGCUGUUCUUUGGGCUUGGAGAAUGCUUAAAACUGAUUCAUUCCCUCUUGAAGUUGGUUCUAGAGAGAUCCUACAGUGGGACCGCCUGACUUCACUUGCCUCAAUGAGCCAGUGCCUUUCCUCUGGCUGGACAUUAAAAAACACACACAACUAAAAGGUUGGCGAGGCAGCCAGGAGCAUCACAGCUCUUUUGCUCCCACAGUUCGGCAAGCGGGAGGGAGAGUUACAGCUCUUUCAUUCCCACCUCCCACAGCUUGGUAAGUUCCUGGUUCUUGUCCCGAGACCAAGAGAAAUAAGGUACACAAACACCAGAGAGUGAAUAAGGCAGAGAAGAAUUUUAUUGAGUGACAAAAGGAAAGCUGUCCCCUGCAAGAGGAAAGUGGGUAGCCCUCUGUGAGGCUGAGUGUGGGUUUUUUAUGGCCUUAGAAUGGGGAAGUGCAUGCUGAUGGGUCCAUAGGUGUUCUUGGAAAAAGCACCAUUUCAUUGGUUAAAAGGCAUCAUCCAGAAGGAACCAGUCGAGAGAGUGGAUAAGACACGGAUAGAAGGUCUCGCUUCAGUCGUGGACUCUAUCCAGGAUUGGCAGCUUAGUUUUCAGGCUUUAAAUUGUCCUUGGUUUGAAGGUUGAGUUUUAUUGGGGGACCCGACCCUGUCUGCCUAAGAAUUUGUCUGUCUCCUGUCGCCAUCAGUGAAGUGCUCUGUGCAAGAUCAUUUUAUAAAUAAAUUAAAUUAUUCAUGAAACAAAAAUUUAUCCCAACAGUUAAGAAGAAACAUGCUUCCUGUAUUAUAUAUUGUAUACUGUUGAAAUGGUAUACUCUGCUAAGUAUUUAUAUGACAGCUAAGUAAUUAUCUAAGCAAUGAAAGAAAAACUCAAUAAUUUUUCUUACUUAGGUUUUAUGAUUUCCAGUGAAUGUGUUUGUAUGUGUAUUUGAUGAGCUCCUAGUGUUAUCAGAAAUUUUCCAUUAUUGUGAUGCAGCUAGUAUAUCUUAUUGAGACAAUUUCUCUCAGUAUGCAACCGUCUGUAUCAGGAAAGAACUUAAAUAUCGUAUGUCUUCCUUUGCUCCUGUUUAAUGUGAUUCUUUUAUCUUGGCAAUUGUGUAAAUCCCAUUAUAAUUAUUGUGUGCAUAAAAGUAUAAUACCUGCCUAUUUAGUUUACCAAUUAUAUAUUAAAUUGCUACUUUCAUUAAAUGAG